rnacentral:tRNA from 1 species
GGUCAGAUGGCCGAGUGGUUAUGGCGCUAGCUUCAGGUGCUAGUGGAACAAUCCUCGUGGGUUCGAGUCCCACUCUGAUCA